GCGGUCGUGGUGGAACUGGCAGACACACUAUCUUGAGGGGGUAGCGCCCACAAGGCGUGCGGGUUCGAAUCCCGCCGACCGCACCA
rnacentral:tRNA from 1 species